rnacentral:rRNA from 1 species
GAUGAACGCUGGCGGCGUGCUUAACACAUGCAAGUCGAACGGUGAACACGGAGCUUGCUCUGUGGGAUCAGUGGCGAACGGGUGAGUAACACGUGAGCAACCUGCCCCUGACUCUGGGAUAAGCGCUGGAAACGGCGUCUAAUACUGGAUAUGUGACGUGAUCGCAUGGUCUGCGUCUGGAAAGAAUUUCGGUUGGGGAUGGGCUCGCGGCCUAUCAGCUUGUUGGUGAGGUAAUGGCUCACCAAGGCGUCGACGGGUAGCCGGCCUGAGAGGGUGACCGGCCACACUGGGACUGAGACACGGCCCAGACUCCUACGGGAGGCAGCAGUGGGGAAUAUUGCACAAUGGGCGCAAGCCUGAUGCAGCAACGCCGCGUGAGGGAUGACGGCCUUCGGGUUGUAAACCUCUUUUAGCAGGGAAGAAGCGAAAGUGACGGUACCUGCAGAAAAAGCGCCGGCUAACUACGUGC